rnacentral:rRNA from 1 species
AGACGGAGGGGGCGAGCGUUGUUCGGAAUUACUGGGCGUAAAGCGCGCGUAGGCGGCGUGUCAAGUCGAGGGUGAAAUCCCGGGGCUCAACCCCGGAACGGCCUUCGAAACUGGCAUGCUAGAGUCCGGGAGAGGAGAGUGGAAUUCCCAGUGUAGAGGUGAAAUUCGUAGAUAUUGGGAAGAACACCAGUGGCGAAGGCGGCUCUCUGGUCCGGUACUGACGCUGAGGCGCGAAAGCGUGGGGAGCAAACAGGAUUAGAAACCCCGGUAGUCC